rnacentral:rRNA from 2 species
AGCAGCCGCGGUAAUUCCAGCUCCAAUAGCGUAUAUUAAAGUUGUUGCAGUUAAAAAGCUCGUAGUUGAAUUUCGGGGUUAGUAGGUUGGUCAUGCCUCUGGUAUGUACUGGUCUCACUGAUUCCUCCUUCCUGAUGAACCUUAAUGCCAUUAAUUUGGUGUUUUGGGGAAUUUGGACUGUUACUUUGAAAAAUUAGAGUGUUUAAAGCAAGCUAACGCUUGAAUACAUUAGCAUGGAAUAAUGAAAUAGGACGUUCGAUCCUAUUUUGUUGGUUUCUAGGAUUGACGUAAUGAUUAAUAGGGAUAGUUGGGGGCAUUAGUAUUCAAUUGUCAGAGGUGAAAUUCUUGGAUUUAUUGAAGACUAACUACUGCGAAAGCAUUUGCCAAGGAUGUUUUCAUUAAUCAAGAACGAAAGUUAGGGGAUCGAAGACGAUCAGAUACCGUCGUAGU